GGGGCAUUUGUGUAAUUGUAUAAAAAGGAAAAAUACGAACCAAAGAAGAAGAGAAGAAAUAACUCAGCUGCCAUUUUCAAUUUUCAUCUUCCCUCCAUCUCCUCUCUCCCAAAUUCCACCCUAUUUUCGCCAUUUUUAUCUCCGCUGCAGAUUGGCCGAUCUCCUCGUGACCCACCUCCUAAGCAAGCCUGAUUCAAGAGUUUUCCUAUAUUUUUAUCUCCAUCUCUAUCUUCCUCAACGUGCACAAACUCUGUGUUUUGCGCUUACAAAAGAGUAUUUCUGAUGAUGCAUGGAUUGAGGCUACUGCAAAUCUUCCAUUAUUGAAGGAGCUUGAAAUUUCAAACCGUCCUUGGAGCAUAGAAAAGUUUGUGGAAGCUGUGGACCGCAAUUGUCCCCAUUUGAAAUCACUCAAAUUGAAAAAUCUGGGAAUUUAUUAUUGGGGAGCAGGUUCUUCCAAUGGGAGUAAUCAUUAGGCUGUUGCUAUUUUAGAGAACCUACCUGGACUAUUCAGCCUCUUGCUUUAUGAAAAUAAACUGACAGAUGAUGCAUGUAGUUAAUUAUCAGUUGUAUCCACUUCACAGGUUUCUUACUUGGAGGUUUUAUUUUUGAGCAAGUCCAACCUGGUCAACAGUCACCCAAAUCCACAAUCUUGGGGUCAGAAGGAAGGAAGUAGUUUUUUUGUUAGAGAAAAAGUCAUACUAGGCUUUUUGAGACCUGUAAUAUUUGUUGUAAUAUUUGUUUACUUGUGUUUCAUUUGCUGUAAUAUUUGCAAGUUAUGAACUUAAUUCAAGAACUAUUGUUUCUCAUUUCAAUGGAAUCUCUCCAAAACCA